CAAUUCGCCGCUAACCCUUAUUAUUUGCGACAAAAUCAGAAAUCACAAUAUCGUCGCUAAUAAAUGCCCUUAUCCCCCGAAUCGGCAUUUCCCCAAAUCUGCCGCGAUAUCUUCUUCUCCUCCGUGCUCUCUUCUUCUCCGCCCGCUCGCUGCUCUCCAUGUGCGCUCUCUUCUUCUCCUCCGACGCUGCCGCGGUAAGGUUUUAGGGUUUGGAUUUGGGUGCGCGAUCUCUUCUUCUCCUCCGACGCCACCGUGAAUCUUCUUUUUUUGACAAAUCCUCCUUCUUUCCUGCUCCGGCUCCGGUGACUUCUGCUCCUGCUCCGGCUCUGGGACUUUUCUGAAAACCCUGCGCACAGGGACCGACGGGAAAAUGAACGAGAGCAACGUACGUUGAAGCAGGGGUCCUCGGUACUCGUUCGGGAUACAUUAGAGGACUUGGAAGUGGGCCAAAGCCAGUUAGGUCCACUUCUUCAGAUGCCACCUCCUCAAUCAGAUCAACUAACAAUGCAUUACGUGAAAAGCUUGAAUCUACUCAAGAAGAGUUAGCAAACACCAAAGUUCAAUUAGCAAGCACCCAAGAUGAGUUAGCAUCAAUGAAAUCAAGACAAGAUAAGUUUGAACAAAUUCUUAACCGAUUGGCACCUGGAGCAUUAGAUUCCUUGAUCCAUGAUUCAUCUUCGGUUCCACCUCCUCCUCCUCAUUCUUAGACUUUGAUGUUGUGGAUUUUUGGAUAUGAACAUGAUGUUGCGAAGUUUAUUUCUUGUAGAUUAUGAUGUUGUGGAUUUCUGGAUGUGAACUUAAUGUUUUGAACUUGUUACUUGUUUUUACUUUAUUUGGAUUGUUACUUGUGUACUUAAUUUGUUGUGUUACUUGAUGUUAGACAUUGUUGUUGAGUACUUGGAUCAUGAAUGUUACUAGAUUUGUGAACU